CCUACUUCUCAUCUGCAUAUUCCAUUUUCAUUCUUUGAAUCCAAGAGCUCUUUAAAAGCCAAAGAAAGGGAAACACGAAGUUGGUCAAGUCACAAAUUAGGAAAGUUCUAUUUAGGAGCCUUGGGUAAAAUUACAUACACCUGCAUGAGACCUGAUACUGGAAACUGGAUGAGAAAGCCUGGGGAGGAAGCACUCUGGUUAUGAAGGCCAUCAGGGAGUAUGGAAGCCGAGGAAAAGGGAGAAACAUGAAGCUGGGACCUAUCAUGGAAGAACUAAAUAUUUUCCCCAUCACUGACCUCCUGCCACACACCUGGCCUAGGAGACAAAAAAAAUUGAAGGAGGUCAAGAAGAAGGCAGAACAAUUGCAGGCCCAGCUGCUGCUUCAUGCCAAAGAUGGAGUCUUGCUUUGUUGCCCAGGCUGGAGUGCAGGGACACAAUCUUGACUCAUUGCAACCUCUACCUCCCAGGUUCAAGUGAUUCUUGUGGCUCAGCCUCCUGAGUAGCUGGGAUUACAGCUGUGCAUCAAUGAGCUGGGCUAAUUUUUUGUAUUUUUUUAGUAGAUACACAGUUUUAUCAUGCUGGCCAGGCUGGUCUCAAACUCCUGACUUCAAGUGAUCCACUCGCUUUGGCUGCCCAGAGUGCUGGGAUUACAGAUGUGAGCCACCACACCCAGCCAAUUUUUCUUUUGUCAUUGGUUUUGCACUAUUUGAUUAUGAUCUCUGUGGUGUGGUUUUAUUUAUAUU
rnacentral:lncRNA from 1 species